CCUGCCCCGUACACUGGGAUAAGCCUGGGAAACUAGGUCUAAUACCGGAUAUGACUUCGCAUCGCAUGGUGUGGGGUGGAAAGUUCCGGCGGUACGGGAUGGACCCGCGGCCUAUCAGCUUGUUGGUGGGGUAAUGGCCUACCAAGGCGACGACGGGUAGCCGGCCUGAGAGGGCGACCGGCCACACUGGGACUGAGACACGGCCCAGACUCCUACGGGAGGCAGCAGUGGGGAAUAUUGCACAAUGGGCGAAAGCCUGAUGCAGCGACGCCGCGUGAGGGAUGACGGCCUUCGGGUUGUAAACCUCUUUCAGCAGGGACGAAGCGCAAGUGACGGUACCUGCAGAAGAAGCACCGGCUAACUACGUGCCAGCAGCCGCGGUAAUACGUAGGGUGCGAGCGUUGUCCGGAAUUAUUGGGCGUAAAGAGCUCGUAGGCGGUUUGUUGCGUCGGCUGUGAAAACCUACAGCUUAACUGUGGGCCUGCAGUCGAUACGGGCAGACUUGAGUUCGGCAGGGGAGACUGGAAUUCCUGGUGUAGCGGUGAAAUGCGCAGAUAUCAGGAGGAACACCGGUGGCGAAGGCGGGUCUCUGGGCCGAUACUGACGCUGAG
rnacentral:rRNA from 1 species